GCUAUUUAAUGCAAAAAAGAGGGGACUUAAAAUCCCGUGGGUAGAAAUACCCGUACCGGUUCGAUUCCGGUCUGCGGCA
rnacentral:tRNA from 1 species